UUUCUAGAGAAAAUCCAAACAUGUGACAGUUGCUUGCUGCUGUCUAGGCUAAGUCCUUGCCGGUGGUGCGACUGGUGCCUACUUGCUCUGGCAGCCCCUGGACUCCCGGUUAGCAAGAGGUCUUCAGCAGAAGAGCUGCCGUCCUUCAGUGUCCUACAGAACUGGGCGCUUCUGGCUGUUGUGAUGUGGUGCUAAGUGCAGAUAGACACCACUGAGAUAAUGAAGAACCUGCAAGUUGCCGUAAUCCAGCACCAAGGCUGUAACUUUUCUCUGCAGUCACAUUGUUGAUUUACCAGGAGAUUGGUCUCGAGCCCUUCUGCUGGAUCUUGUUUAAUCUGCAGGAGGCCUCUGCAGCUCUGAGGAACUUCAGUGCAUCACUUCAUCAGGCUGGAAUCCCGAAACGUUGGUAUUUCUACCGCUUCCCGAAGAGCUCACAUCCUCUGGUUUUGCGCACGAGAAACCUGCAGAUGAUUUCCACCUUAGGCUAGAGUCGGCUGCAGUCGAGCUGUAUUCCCUUUUCAAGCUUUCACCAGCCAAGAGUGGAACCAAUCCAUUCAGCACACAUUUCUGCUACGGUGCUAAACAUCAUCUCGGAUCUAGCAAACUACAGGUUACUGCGGAGGGCUCCAUCGUGCUUUAUCCUCUUCUCUGGCACUGGGCACUCGUGGGAUAUCGAGGCAGCAGCUGGCGUCAGCCCGCGCGAAGCAGCACGGGCGCCGGGCAGGCGAUUUCCUCGGGCAUGGCUGGGCGGAAGGAGCGCGUGAAUUUCUCCUGGUGGUCAUCCCAGCCGUCCCCAGCUUGCAGAGCCAUCCGCCAGGGAGCCCAUCCGGCGUCGCGCUGCUCAGCUUCGGCAUCAGCUCGGCUCCGGCCAGGGAAGCAGACGGCCAAACGGACAACCUCCGGCCCCGAGCCAUUUGAAGCACAUUGCACAAAGAAACUAGAGAGGCGACUUGAAGGAAAAGUUGGCCACGUGCAUUUGAAAACCAGCUUGUGAAAGGGCCUAGCAACACAGCCAGAGCGGCUCUUGACAGCGGCUGGAUUAGCAAAGGGUCUCUAUCACUGUUACAGGUUUUGAACACGCCGCACAUCAAAGGAAGGCAAGAAAUGAUAAGAGCCCCCCCUUAGAGCCAGCCUGCUCUCCGCUACCAAAACCAGGCUGCAGGCAGGAGUGAUGCACCCCUCUUUUUCCAUUUAACGUGUCACCAUUUACGCUGGUUUUUCCAUUUGUAAUGUACUGUAACCGUUCGCGGUGCUCAGUGUGAGAACACGUUAUGACUAUUAAUAGCCACCAAAUACAAUAAAUCCCUAUUACCUGCCGUUCCGGGGAGACA
rnacentral:lncRNA from 1 species